GCCAGCCGUAGAUUGUGAUCGGAGCUCUNACAACUAACUGCAGCCUCGGGAGAGAAAACGGGGGAGACGAGGAGGGGGAGAGGAGUGCAGGAAAACCGUGGGACCGGCGGACCCCAGAGAAACAUGGCUAACACCGUAUAAUAGCCUCGGCUCAAAGAGGGGGACCUUCCGGCCUCUCCUCGUCAUGAAAUGCCCCGGUGGGAUUAGCUAGUUGGUGAGGGAAUGGCUCACCAAGGCGACGAUCCCUAGCUGGUCUGAGAGGAUGAUCAGCCUCACUGGAACUGACACACGGUCCAGACUCCUACGGGAGGUUGCCGUGGGGAAUAUUGCACAAUGGGCGCAAGCCUGAUGCUACCCUUCCGCCUGUGUGAAGAAUGCCUUUGGGUUGUUCAGCACUUUCAGUAUUUGGAAGGUGGUGUCCUAAUUUUUUGUUCGUUUGACCCUACCUGCAAAAAAAGCCCCCUCUAACUCCGUGCCAGCAUACCGGUAAUACUGAGGGUGCGAGCCUUUAUCCUAUUUACCGGGCSUWAAGCGCAUGCAGGUGKUUAGUUAAKUYARAUGUSAMAGCCCGGGGCUCMACCUCRGAWCUGCAUUUGAAACUGGCUGACUAGAGUACUGUAGAGGGGGGUAGAAUUUYAGGUGKAGCGRUGAMAUGCSUARAGAUCUGAAKGAAUACCGGUGGCGAAKGCSGCCCCCUGGACAGAUACUGACACUCAGMUGCSAAAGCSUGGSGAGCAAACAGGAUUAKAUACCCUGGUAGYCCACGCCSKAAACSAUGUCUACUUGGAGGUUGUGGCCUUGAGCCGUGGCUUUCGGAGCUAACGCGUUAAGUAGACCGCCUGGGGAGUACGGUCGCAAGAUUAAAACUCAAAUGAAUUGACGGGGGCCCGCACAAGCGGUGGAGCAUGUGGUUUAAUUCGAUGCAACGCGAAGAACCUUACCUACUCUUGACAUCCUCAGAAGAGACUGGAGACAGUCUUGUGCCUUCGGGAACUGAGAGACAGGUGCUGCAUGGCUGUCGUCAGCUCGUGUUGUGAAAUGUUGGGUUAAGUCCCGCAACGAGCGCAACCCUUAUCCUUGUUUGCCAGCACUUCGGGUGGGAACUCCAGGGAGACUGCCGGUGAUAAACCGGAGGAAGGUGGGGACGACGUCAAGUCAUCAUGGCCCUUACGAGUAGGGCUACACACGUGCUACAAUGGCGCAUACAGAGGGCGGCCAACUUGCGAAAGUGAGCGAAUCCCAAAAAGUGCGUCGUAGUCCGGAUUGGAGUCUGCAACUCGACUCCAUGAAGUCGGAAUCGCUAGUAAUCGUGGAUCAGAAUGCCACGGUGAAUACGUUCCCGGGCCUUGUACACACCGCCCGUCACACCAUGGGAGUGGUAUGCAAAAGAAGUGGGUAGUUUAUACAGUCGUGGAGGACGUAUCACGCNGAGU
rnacentral:rRNA from 1 species